GACGUAGGGUGCGAGCGUUGUCCGGAUUUAUUGGGCGUAAAGAGCUCGUAGGCGGCUCGUCGCGUCGACCGUGAAAACCCGCGGCUUAACUGCGGGCUUGCGGUUGAUACGGGCAGGCUAGAGUUCGGUAGGGGAGUCUGGAAUUCCUGGUGUAGCGGUGAAAUGCGCAGAUAUCAGGAGGAACACCGGUGGCGAAGGCGGGACUCUGGGCCGAUACUGACGCUGAGGAGCGAAAGCGUGGGGAGCGAACAGG
rnacentral:rRNA from 1 species